GCAGUCCGUGGUUCGAGAGGAAUGGACGGCUGAGGUGUUUGAUGUGGAGCUAAUGAGAUACCGUAAUAUUGAGGAAGAGAUGGUGCAGAUGCUACAAAUAGCUAUGGCCUGCGUAGCAAGAGUGCCAGACAUGAGACCAACCAUGGAUGAAGUGAUUAGGAUGAUUGAAGAAAUAAGGCCAACUGAUUCUGUGAGCCAACCAUCAGAAGAGAAGAAGGGAUCAGAUACACAUAUUCCAUCAUCAAUUUAUCCAUGAUUUCGAUAUAUAUAAUUUCUGCUUGGAGUUCUGUUUGAUGCCAGUUCAAGGACACAUAAACUGCUUUUGGUGAGGCUAUUAGCUAGUAACUGUCCACACAGAAACUCCACAUGUAAGUAUCUCAGGGCUAAAUGUUUGUCCAGUCCAACGAUGUUAUUUUAGCUUGCAAGUGUCUUCUGACUAGAAUUUAUUUUUUUCUUCCCAGCAAUUAUUGAAACUAAGUUCAACAACAUGUUAUCAUCAGUUAAAUAUGUUUUUAAGAUCAUUCAUUCCAUACGCAUCUGCUGAAUG
rnacentral:misc_RNA from 1 species